AUUGAACGCUGGCGGCAGGCCUAACACAUGCAAGUCGAGCGGCAGAACGGCGCUUGCUCCUGCAGCCAGCGGCGAACGGGUGAGUAAUGCAUCGGAACAUGCCCAGUCGUGGGGGAUAACACCUGGAAAGAGGGGCUAAUACCGCAUACGUCCUGAGGGGGAAAGCGGGGGAUCUCAAGACCUCACGCGAUUGGAGUGGCCGAGGUCGGAUUAGCUAGUGUGUGGGGUAAAGGCCUACCAAGGCGACGAUCCGUAACUGGUCUGAGAGGAUGAUCAGCCACACUGGAACUGAGACACGGUCCAGACUCCUACGGGAGGCAGCAGUGGGGAAUAUUGGACAAUGGGCGAAAGCCUGAUCCAGCCAUGCCGCGUGUGUGAAGAAGGUCUUCGGAUUGUAAAGCACUUUAAGUUGGGAGGAAGGGCAGUAAGUUAAUACCUUGCUGUUUUGACGUUACCAACAGAAUAAGCACCGGCUAACUUCGUG
rnacentral:rRNA from 1 species